rnacentral:rRNA from 1 species
AUUGAACGCUGGCGGCAUGCCUUACACAUGCAAGUCGAACGGCAGCAUGAUCUAGCUUGCUAGAUUGAUGGCGAGUGGCGAACGGGUGAGUAAUACAUCGGAACGUGCCCUGUAGUGGGGGAUAACUAGUCGAAAGAUUAGCUAAUACCGCAUACGACCUGAGGGUGAAAGUGGGGGACCGCAAGGCCUCAUGCUAUAGGAGCGGCCGAUGUCUGAUUAGCUAGUUGGUGAGGUAAAGGCUCACUAAGGCGACGAUCAGUAGCUGGUCUGAGAGGACGAUCAGCCACACUUGGAUUGGGACACGGCCCAGACUCCUACGGGAGGCAGCAGUGGGGAAUUUUGGACAAUGGGGGCAACCCUGAUCCAGCAAUGCCGCGUGUGUGAAGAAGGCCUUCGGGUUGUAAAGCACUUUUGUCCGGAAAGAAAUCGCACUUACUAAUAUUAGGUGUGGAUGACGGUACCGGAAGAAUAAGGACCGGCUAACUACGUGCCAGCAGCCGCCGUAACAC